UACAGAGGGGGCAAGCGUUGUUCGGAAUUACUGGGCGUAAAGGGCGCGUAGGUGGCCUUCUAAGUUGAACGUGAAAUCCCUGGGCUCAACCCAGGAACUGCGUCCAAGACUGGGAGGCUUGAAUCCGGGAGAGGGAUGCGGAAUUCCAGGUGUAGCGGUGAAAUGCGUAGAUAUCGGGUGGAACACCAGGGGCGAAGGCGGCUGCCUGGCCCUGACCUGACGCUGAGGCGCGAGAGCGUGGGGAGCAAACCGG
rnacentral:rRNA from 1 species